rnacentral:tRNA from 1 species
GGAGAGGUGCCUGAGCGGUCGAAAGGGGCACCCUGCUAAGGUGUUGUGCCCUAACGGGUACCGGGGGUUCGAAUCCCCCCCUCUCCG